GAUGAACGCUGGCGGCGUGCUUAACACAUGCAAGUCGAACGGUGAAAGAGAGCUUGCUCUCUGGAUCAGUGGCGAACGGGUGAGUAACACGUGAGCAAUCUGCCCCUGACUCUGGGAUAAGCGCUGGAAACGGCGUCUAAUACCGGAUACGAGCUGCGAAGGCAUCUUCAGCAGCUGGAAAGAACUUCGGUCAGGGAUGAGCUCGCGGCCUAUCAGCUAGUUGGUGAGGUAACGGCUCACCAAGGCGUCGACGGGUAGCCGGCCUGAGAGGGUGACCGGCCACACUGGGACUGAGACACGGCCCAGACUCCUACGGGAGGCAGCAGUGGGGAAUAUUGCACAAUGGGCGAAAGCCUGAUGCAGCAACGCCGCGUGAGGGACGACGGUCUUCGGGUUGUAAACCUCUUUUAGCAGGGAAGAAGCGAAAGUGACGGUACCUGCAGAAAAAGCACCGGCUAACUACGUG
rnacentral:rRNA from 1 species